rnacentral:rRNA from 1 species
UACGUAGGGGGCAAGCGUUGUCCGGAUUUAUUGGGCGUAAAGAGCGUGUAGGCGGCUAGGUAGGUCCGUUGUGAAAACUCGAGGCUCAACCUCGAGACGCCGGUGGAAACCAUCUAGCUAGAGUCCGGAAGAGGAGAAGUGGAAUUCCUGGUGUAGCGGUGAAAUGCGCAGAUAUCAGGAAGAACACCCGUGGCGAAGGCGGCUCUCUGGGACGUGACUGACGCUGAGACGCGAAAGCUAGGGGAGCGAACAGG